GAUGAACGCUGGCGGCGUGCCUAAUACAUGCAAGUCGAGCGAACGGACGAGAAGCUUGCGUCUCUGAUGUUAGCGGCGGACGGGUGAGUAACACGUGGAUAACCUACCUAUAAGACUGGGAUAACUUCGGGAAACCGUAGCUAAUACCGGAUAAUAUUUUGAACCGCAUGGUUCAAAAGUGAAAGACGGUCUUGCUGUCACUUAUAGAUGGAUCCGCGCUGCAUUAGCUAGUUGGUAAGGUAACGGCUUACCCAGGCAACGAUGCAGAGCCGACCUGAGAGGGUCGUCGCCCACCCUGGAACUGAGACACGGUCCAGACUCCUACGGGAGGCAGCAGUAGGGACUCUUCCGCAAUGCGCGAAAGCCUGACGGAGCACCGCCGCGUGAGUGAUGAAGGUCUUCGGAUCGUAAAACUCUGUUAUUCGGGAAGAACAUAUGUGUAAGUACCUGUGCACAUCUUGACGGUACCUAAUCAGAAAGCCACGGCUAACUACGUG
rnacentral:rRNA from 1 species